GACGAACGCUGGCGGCGUGCUUAACACAUGCAAGUCGAACGAUGAAGCGGUGCUUGCACCGUGGAUUAGUGGCGAACGGGUGAGUAAUACGUGAGUGACCUACCUUUGACUCUGGGAUAAGCCUGGGAAACUGGGUCUAAUACCGGAUACGACCACUCCCUGCAUGGGGUGUUGGUGGAAAGCGUUAUGGAGUGGUUUUAGAUGGGCUCACGGCCUAUCAGCUUGUUGGUGAGGUAAUGGCUUACCAAGGCGACGACGGGUAGCCGGCCUGAGAGGGUGACCGGCCACACUGGGACUGAGACACGGCCCAGACUCCGACGGGAGGCAGCAGUGGGGAAUAUUGCACAAUGGGCGCAAGCCUGAUGCAGCGACGCCGCGUGAGGGAUGACGGCCUUCGGGUUGUAAACCUCUGUUAGCAUCGAAGAAGCGAAAGUGACGGUAGGUGCAGAGAAAGCGCCGGCUAACUACGU
rnacentral:rRNA from 1 species